GACGAACGCUGGCGGCGUGCCUAAUACAUGCAAGUAGAACGCACAGUUUAUACCGUAGCUUGCUACACCAUAGACUGUGAGUUGCGAACGGGUGAGUAACGCGUAGGUAACCUGCCUGGUAGCGGGGGAUAACUAUUGGAAACGAUAGCUAAUACCGCAUAAUAUUCAUUAUUGCAUGAUAAUUAAUUGAAAGGUGCAAUUGCACCACUACCAGAUGGACCUGCGUUGUAUUAGCUAGUAGGUGAGGUAACGGCUCACCUAGGCGACGAUACAUAGCCGACCUGAGAGGGUGAUCGGCCACACUGGAACUGAGACACGGCCCAGACUCCUACGGGAGGCAGCAGUAGGGAAUCUUCGGCAAUGGACGAAAGUCUGACCGAGCAACGCCGCGUGAGUGAAGAAGGUUUUCGGAUCGUAAAGCUCUGUUGUAAGAGAAGAACGGGUGUGAGAGUGGAAAGUUCACACUGUGACGGUAUCUUACCAGAAAGGGACGGCUAACUACGU
rnacentral:rRNA from 1 species